GACUCGUAGGUGACCUGCGGAGGGAUCAUUACCGAGUUCAUGCCCUGACGGGUAGACCUCCCACCCUAUGUUAUAUUACCUUUGUUGCUUUGGCGGGCCGCCCGGCUUCGGCCAGGCUACCGGCUCCAGCUGGUAAGCGCUCGCCAGAGGACCCCCAACUCUGAAUAUCAGUGUCGUCCGAGUACUAUAAAAUAGUUAAAACUUUCAACAACGGAUCUCUUGGUUCUGGCAUCGAUGAAGAACGCAGCGAAAUGCGAUAAGUAAUGUGAAUUGCAGAAUUCAGUGAAUCAUCGAAUCUUUGAACGCACAUUGCGCCCCUUGGUAUUCCGAGGGGCAUGCCUGUUCGAGCGUCAUUACAACCCUCAAGCACUGCUUGGUAUUGGGCUCCGCUGGCUCCAGCGGGCCUUAAAAUCAGUGGCGGCGCCGUUUGGGCUCUGAGCGUAGUAAAUAUCCUCGCUAUAGAGACCAGGCGGUUCUUGUCAUCAACCCCCAACUUUCUAAGUUUGACCUCGGAUCAGGUAGGGAUACCCGCUGAACUUAAGCAUAUCAAA
rnacentral:rRNA from 1 species